rnacentral:rRNA from 1 species
GUGAGGUAACCGUAAGGAGCCAGCGGCCGAAGGUGGGAUCGAUGAUUGGGGUGAAGUCGUAACAAGGUAGCCGUAGGAGAACCUGCGGCUGGAUCACCUCCUUUCUAGGGAG